GUCGAACGGUAACAUGAGUGCUUGCACUUGAUGACGAGUGGCGGACGGGUGAGUAAAGUAUGGGGAUCUGCCGAAUGGAAGGGGACAACAGUUGGAAACGACUGCUAAUACCGUAUAAAGUCGUAAGACCAAAGCAUGGGACUUUCGGGCCAUGCGCCAUUUGAUGAACCCAUAUGGGAUUAGCUAGUAGGUGGGGUAAAGGCUCACCUAGGCGACGAUCUCUAGCUGGUCUGAGAGGAUGACCAGCCACACUGGAACUGAGACACGGUCCAGACUCCUACGGGAGGCAGCAGUGGGGAAUAUUGCACAAUGGGGGGAACCCUGAUGCAGCCAUGCCGCGUGUAUGAAGAAGGCCUUCGGGUUGUAAAGUACUUUCGGUGAUGAGGAAGGUGAUGUAUCUAAUAGGUGCAUUAAUUGACGUUAAUCACAGAAGAAGCACCGGCUAACUCCGUGCCAGCAGCCGCGGUAAUACGGAGGGUGCGAGCGUUAAUCGGAAUGACUGGGCGUAAAGGGCAUGUAGGCGGAUAAUUAAGUUAGGUGUGAAAGCCCUGGGCUCAACCUAGGAAUUGCACUUAAAACUGGUUAACUAGAGUAUUGUAGAGGAAGGUAGAAUUCCACGUGUAGCGGUGAAAUGCGUAGAGAUGUGGAGGAAUACCGGUGGCGAAGGCGGCCUUCUGGACAGAUACUGACGCUGAGAUGCGAAAGCGUGGGGAGCAAACAGGAUUAGAUACCCUGGUAGUCCACGCUGUAAACGAUGUCGAUUUGGAGUUUGUUGCCUAGAGUGAUGGGCUCCGAAGCUAACGCGAUAAAUCGACCGCCUGGGGAGUACGGCCGCAAGGUUAAAACUCAAAUGAAUUGACGGGGGCCCGCACAAGCGGUGGAGCAUGUGGUUUAAUUCGAUGCAACGCGAAGAACCUUACCUGGUCUUGACAUCCACAGAAU
rnacentral:rRNA from 1 species